rnacentral:rRNA from 1 species
GCGAGAAAGGGGCAACCCCGGUAAAGCGGCGCACGGGUGAGUAACACUUAGGUAAUCUACCCCCAGGUGGUGGAUAACCUUCCGAAAGGAAGGCUAAUACAGCAUGGGACCACGACUCCGAAAGGAGUUGAGGUGAAAGUCGGCCUCUUCACGAAAGCCGACGCCAGGGGAUGAGCCUGCGGCCCAUCAGCUAGUUGGUAGGGUAAUGGCCUACCAAGGCAAAGACGGGUAGCUGGUCUGAGAGGAUGAUCAGCCACACUGGAGCUGAGACACGGUCCAGACUCCUACGGGAGGCAGCAGUGGGGAAUCUUGCGCAAUGGACGAAAGUCUGACGCAGCGACGCCGCGUGAGUGAUGAAGGCCCUCGGGUUGUAAAGCUCUGUGGAGGGGGACGAAUAAGCAUUGGUUAAUACCCAGUGUGAUGACGGUACCCUUUUAGCAAGCACCGGCUAACUCUGUGCCAGCAGCCCGCGGUAAGACAGAGGGUGCAAACGUUGUUUC